GUCAAUGUUGGAAUUAUAGUAAUCGUUAAAACUUUCAACAACGGAUCUCUUGGUUCUCGCAUCGAUGAAGAGCGCAGCGAAAUGCGAUAAGUAGUGUGAAUUGCAGAAUUCCGUGAAUCAUCGAGUUCUUGAACGCAUAUUGCGCCUUCAGGCAUUCCUGAAGGCAUGCCUGUUCGAGCGUCAUCAAACAUCCUGUCAAGGAUCGGUUUGGACAUUGCCACCGGUUCUUGGUUUUGAUUAAAGAGCGGAUGUGAAGCCGUUCUUGAUUGAAUUAUAUUUGCAAAGAUUGGAAUGCACGAUUCGACGUGAUAAAACUUCAUUUCGUCCGAGCUUGUUCUCGCUUUGCUCCAUUCCGGUUCCG
rnacentral:rRNA from 1 species